AGCUACGGCCAUACAAUGUUGAAAGCACCGGAUCCCGUCCGAUCUCCGCAGUUAAGUAACAUCUGGACCAGUCAGUACUAUGGUGGGGGACCACAUGGGAAUACUGGUUGCUGUAGUUUUUG
rnacentral:rRNA from 1 species